UUCUGCUAUUCCAUUUUUUAUUAUUCUGUUGGAAUAACCUGUAUACGCGGACUACUCUAUACUUGGUGAAAUUCUUCUAUUAUUCCAUUUUUUAUUAUUAUGUUGGAAUAACCUGUCUAUGCGAAAUACCGCAUACAUGGUGAAAUUCUUCUGUUAUUCCAUUCUUUAUUAUUCUGUUGAAACAACAUGUCUAGGGGUGCU
rnacentral:lncRNA from 1 species